AUUAAUUAAUUAAAUAAUUAAUUUUUGACCAGCGGGUUGACUUUUCCGUAAAUACCCGUUUUAAACCGUUCGAAAGGCGUUCUGACUCGAAAUUUCGAUCUGAUUUCAGAUUUGGAGUCCAUUUGAGCAGCUGGAAUUCAUAGAUACCACUUCUUAUUGUUGCUAAGGUGAGACCGACGAGCAGGAGUGAUUAUCGGACCGGUGCUAUUGGGCUUUUGGGCUUCUAUCGCUUUUACCGCUUUUAUCUUUAUCGGGCCUUUAGGCCUUUGGACUUUUAUCGUUUAUGUUAUUCCUAUUUCAGAUUUUCGGUUUAUGUCGUAUUUUAUAUUUCGGAUGUUAUUGAUGUUGGGCUUUUAGGCCUUUUGAUACCGUAUUGACUUUUAUAUUAUGAUAUGAAGAUUAUUAUUAUUUGAGUUGUGUUAUUA